AUGCAGCACCGCUCGCCGGCGGCGGCCACGGCCUCCGGAGCUGCCUCCGCUGCGGCCGCCAUGGAGCCAGGCGUCGGCGGCGUCGAGCCUGCGGUGACGCUCGACCAGGUGCCGCGCUGGAGCGACCCCGACCAGCGCCUGUACACACCGUCCUCCUCGUCCGCCACCGCCGAAGCCGCGGACGGCGGAUCCGAGCCCGCAGCGUCCGCCUUCCUCUCCUUCUCCGACCCGCUCACCGGCGACGACAGCGGCGCCGCCGGUGGUGGCUGCGCGGGCGCCUCGCGCUUCCCCGUGGACCACGAGAUCAACUCCAGGAUCUACCUCUGGCGGGGACAGCCCUGGAACAUGGAGGUCGAUGCCGUCGUCAACUCCACCAACGAGAGCUUGGACGAGGCGCACAGUAGUCCUGGGCUGCACGCUGCAGCAGGUUCUGGGCUCGCGGAGGAAUGCGCCACCUUGCAGGGAGGGUGCCGAACUGGGAUGGCAAAGAUGACCAAUGCAUACGAUCUUCCUGCGAGGAAGGUCAUCCAUACAGUGGGACCCAAAUAUGCUGUCAAGUAUCACACAGCUGCGGAAAAUGCACUUAGUCAUUGCUACCGGUCAUGUUUGGAACUACUCAUUGAGAACGGCCUUGAAAGCAUCGCAAUGGGUUGCAUAUACACGGAAGCUAAAAACUAUCCUCGUGAACCAGCUGCCCAUGUGGCAAUAAGGACUGUUAGAUGUUUUCUGGAGAAACAGAAAGGCAAGAUAGCUGGUGUUAUUUUUUGUAUUACAUCAUCAUCUGAUACAGAGAUAUACAAAAGAUUGCUUCCGCUAUAUUUCCCUCGGGACAAGCAAGAGGAAGAGACUGCGGUAUCAAAACUUCCAGCUGAUGUCGGGGAUGAGAAUGGUGAAACUGUAAUAGAUGAAAGGAAAAUAAGAAUAAGACCAUUGCCUGCUGGUGCAGCAGAUAGAACAGUGGCUACAGCUGCUGCUCUUGAUCUUCCUCUUGAGUCUGGAUUGGCAUCAAGCAGGAGUACAUUCAAACUGGAUUCGUAUUUGGACCCUUCAUUUAUGUCAUUAAUUAAAGACCCGGAUCUGCGGCGCAAGGAGCAGUGGGAAAAAUCUUCUCAAGCUCAAAAGGGAUUUAAUUAUGCUAGGUUGCUUGGAUAUGGUGAUAUAGGUUUCCCUCCAUUGUCUGCUGCCGAGGAAUAUUCACUUCAUUCACGAUACCUUGCGAAAGCAAAUUCCCUUAAUCUUUCAGAGGUUGCUGAGAUGAAAAUAAUUUACCGUGGCGGAGUUGAUAGUGAAGGGCGCCCAGUUAUGGUUGUUGUUGGUGCGCACUUUCUUCUUCGCUGCCUGGAUCUUGAACGGUUUGUUCUACAUGUAGUGAAGGAGUUUGAACCUUUGAUUCAGAAGCCAUAUACUAUUGUCUAUCUCCACUCGGCAGCAUCAUUACAACCGCAACCAGAUUUAGGAUUCAUGAAAAGGAUACAACAAAUACUAGGCCGGAAACAUCAGCGAAACCUUCAUGGGAUUUAUAUACUCCAUCCAACAUUGGGGUUGAGAACAGCUAUUCUGGGGAUGCAGCUUUUGAUUGAUGGAGAGGUAUGGAAGAAAGUUGUGUAUGUUGACAGGCUGGUGCAAUUGUUCAGAUAUGUACCACGCGAACAAUUAACUAUCCCAGAUUUUGUAUUUCAGCAUGAUUUGGAGGUGAAUGGUGGUAGAGGCAUGAUUGUGGACCCAAGAACAAAACAUAUCUAUCAGAGACCAUCUGGCUGA
rnacentral:rRNA from 1 species